rnacentral:misc_RNA from 1 species
AACGCACAUUGCACCCUCUGGUAAUCCAGAGGGUAUGCCUGUUUGAGUGUCAUUAGCAACAUCAAAUCCAGAUUUUGCUCUGUGAUUUGGACUUUGAAGGCUCUGCUGACUGUUAAAGUCAGCUCCUUUUAAAUGCAUUAGCAGGUUGCAAGCAACUGGCCCCAGUUUGAUAGACUUUAAUCAUCUGUGCUGUCGCUAGUAGUUUUGACCGCUGCGAAUUGUCUUUGGACUUGCCAUCAGGCAAUACAUUUAAGUCUUGACCUCAAAUCAGGUAGGAUUACCCGCUGAACUUAA